AUUGAACGCUGGCGGCAGGCUUAACACAUGCAAGUCGAGCGAACGGCGGACGGGUGAGUAAUGUCUGGGAACCUGCCUGAUGGAGGGGGAUAACUACUGGAAACGGUAGCUAAUACCGCAUACCAUCAGAUGUGCCCAGAUGGGAUUAGCUAGUAGGUGGGGUAAUGGCUCACCUAGGCGACGAUCCAUAGCUGGUCUGAGAGGGUGACCAGCCACAGUGGGACUGAGACACGGUCCAGACUCCUACGGGAGGCAGCAGUGGGGAAUAUUGGACAAUGGGCGAAAGCCUGAUGCAGCCAUGCCGCGUGAGUGAAGAAGGCCUUCGGGUUGUAAAGCACUUUCAGCGAGGAGGCGUUACUCAAAGAAGAAGCACCGGCUAACUACGUGCCAGCCGCCGCGGUAAUAC
rnacentral:rRNA from 1 species